AAAAAAAACAAACGGGAAUGAAGAUAGAGAUGUUUCUCUUUACAGUAGAAACAAUCAGAAAUAUCAUAAACAAAAAAAUAUAUAUAUCAUAAACAAAAUAAGUAAAAAAGGAACGUCCAAAAGUUGCAGAGAAUCUACAGAUCAAGUUAAAAAUGGUGGGCUGCUCAGCACGUGCUAUGUCAUGAACGUAUCAUCGCCAUUACGUACGAACAAGACGAAAGUGGAAUAUGUAAGUCUUUUAAUACUAUAAUAUACAAAUUACACAGCUAUACAAAAUUCCAGUAUGUGGUCUAUAAAAGGUAAGGGGCCCAAAUAAAAUAUCAGUCGGAUUGAGGCGGUCACAAAAUAUUUGGAGCAAAACAUUUUGGACUAAAAGUUUUAAAUGCGUCCAAUUUUAACUUCGGUGCAUUGAUCUUUCAUAGUCUAGGUCUCACAUGUCGAUAGAAAAAACAAGAGUGUAUAUAUAUAU
rnacentral:lncRNA from 1 species